GUCCUUUUGAGAUUAAUUUAAGGUCUGGCCUGCCCACUGAAAUAUUUAAAUGGCCGUGGUAUUUUGACCGUGCUAAGGUAGCAUAAUCAUUAGUUUUUUAAUUAAAAGCUGGAAUGAAGGGUUAGAUAAAAAAAUAACUGUCUCUAUUUAAUUUUAUUAGAAUUUUAUUUUUAAGUUAAAAAGCUUAAAUUAUAUUAAAAGACGAGAAGACCCUAUAGAGUUUUAUUAUAAUUUUUAUUUUUUAUUUUGGAAUUUAUUUAUUAAGUUAAAUUUAUAAUUUAAUUGGGGCGAUUGAAAAAUAUAUUGAACUUUUUUUGUAAUAUAACAUUAAUUUAUGAAUUAUUGAUCCAAUUUUUUUGAUUAUAAGAUAAAAUUACCUUAGGGAUAACAGCGUAAUUUUUUUAGAAAGUUCAUAUUGAAAAAAAAGAUUGCGACCUCGAUGUUGGAUUAAAAUAAAUUUUUGGUGUAGAAGCUAAAAUAUUAGGUCUGUUCGACCUUUAAAAUUUUACAUGAUCUGAGUUUAAACCGGUGUGAGCCAGGUUGGUUUCUAUCUUUAAUUAGUUAAAAUAUUUUAGUACGAAAGGACCAAGUAUUUAAUAUAGAAUUUU
rnacentral:rRNA from 1 species